AAUGGUAACUGUUUCACAGGUUCUAUCCCAUCCACUCUGUUCAAGUGCAAACAUCUGCAAAGUUUGGAUUUAAGUAGUAAUAAUUUCAAAGGAAGUGUACCCCUGGAAGUUGGAAACUUAACAAUGCUUUUAGAUUUAGACCUUUCCAACAACAACUUCAAUGGUACUAUCCCAUCGUCUUUGUUCAAGUGCAAAUGGCUCCAAACUUUAUAUUUGUUUGUUAAUAACUUCACAGGAAGUCUAUCCCCGGAAAUUGGGAAUUUCACCAUGCUUAGAGUGUAAAGCAUUUCCUACAACAAAUUUCAAGGUUUGCUAAUUAGUCUUGUUCAAGUCAAUUAAUUGGAUAAUAGUAUAACACCAUGCAUGCAUUAAUUUAGUAACAUAUUCUAUGAUUGUAUAUGAUUUGGUACCUCUUAAUUGAAAGCACAAAUACUUUCUAGCUAGCUCCGGGUAGGUUGGUACUAUAUAUGUGUCAUGCCUAGGUAGAGAAUCCACCUCCGGUUGCCCGGCCCCUCCUACCAAUUUUAUUAAAAUUAUAAAAUUAAAAAAUUAAAAAAAAGUAACUCAACCAAAUCAAAGGUGGCUUAACUGAUAAAUUUUGCCAACAUAAUCAAUAAAUGAAUCACCUCCAUGCGUCUUGGUUGUUUUCUUUACAGUUAACUUACAUGAACGUGUCACUCAUUAUAAUUAGUUCCCUUCAUUGUUUUUAAUUAGAAGUACAUUUAAUCAUUUAUAUUGUGAGAGGUGCAAUACCAAGUGAAAUAAGUUAUCUACAGAAGCUAAAAUUCAUGAAUAUUGGAAACAAUGGUUUUGCUGGCUCAAUCCCAUUCAAAAUCUUCAACAUUUCAACAUUACAGUCUAUGGGAAUGGUUUUAAAUAACCUCACAGGGCAUCUUCCAUCAAAUGUUGGUCUCUUCCUUCCAAAUCUUCAUACACUUACUCUUGGGGGAAAUGAAUUGAGUGGAACUGUUACUAAUUCUAUCUCCAAUGCUUCACAGCUCAUUGUGCUAGGCUUGAGUCAGAACUCAUUCUUAGGAUUAAUUCCAAAAACACUAGGUAAUUUAAGGUUGCUCCAGACACUCAACCUAGAAAACAAUAAUUUGGUCGUUGAAUCUCUAGAACUUGAGAGCUUUUUCUCUGAUUUGUCAAACUGUAUAUAUCUUAGAACUUUAGCUUUAUCAAAAAAUCAACUUAAUGGGAUCCUCCCAAGUUCUAUUGGAAACCUCUCAA